rnacentral:rRNA from 1 species
GAUGAACGUUGGCGGCGUGCCUAAUACAUGCAAGUCGAACGAAGACUGUAGUAAUACUGUCUUAGUGGCGAACGGGUGAGUAACGCGUGGGUGACCUGCCCCGAAGUGUGGGAUAACAGUCCGAAAGGAUUGCUAAUACUGCAUAAUAUCCAAGAGAUUAGAUGCUUUUAGGAUUAAAGGAGUAAUUCGCUUCGGGAGGGGCCCGCGUCCCAUCAGCUAGUUGGUAAGGUAAUGGCUUACCAAGGCGAUGACGGGUAGGGGACCUGAGAGGGUGGCCCCCCACAAUGGAACUGAAACACGGUCCAUACACCCUACGGGUGGCAGCAGUAGGGAAUAUUAGUAAUGGGCGAAAGCCUGAACUAGCAACGCCGCGUGUGCGAAGAAGGCCUUCGGGUUGUAAAGCACUUUUUGAGAGGAUGAGGAAGGACGGUACUACUCAGAAUAAGUCUCGGCUAACUACGUGCCAGCCAGCCGCGGUAAGCUCGUCUCUA